CGCGUGCCUCUCUUCCCUUCUCCUCUCACGCCCGACACCUUCCUUCUUCUCUUUGCCCUAACUACCGGCCACGACAGUUUCCUUCGCCACUACAUCUUCUUCUCCUCUGCUGACACCGACCCCUUCCCCUGUGCCCUAGCCGCCAACCGCUGAUCUUUUCUUCCUCCCUUUCCAAGCGCCGGCGACGCGCGAGCACAGCCGAUCUGAGCCCUCUCUGCCCUAGCGUCGGCCGCCGCGGAGCCCUAGUCUCGCCUUCCGUACCCUAUUUUGGGUUCACAGUCAACCGAGCUCUCCUCACAGCAGUGUCGCCGACCUCCAUCUUGUGUGCCCUAGAUUUGGAUUGUGCCGCCGCCGAGUUUGCUUCGCCGACGCUGUGCCCUAGCAUUGUCGCCGGCCACAGUGAAGUAACCAACAAGGAGUUUGGGUUUGUGGAUGAUUUUGGGUUCCGACAGCUAUCCCAUUUAGCAGCCUACUUAAUUGUCAACAGCAACACACUUUGCGACCGGGAAUCAAGAAACUAUAGGCUGUGAAUUUAGGACUUUGACGCGAGACGAGUAUCUCGGAGUCAGAUUGGACCUUUCUAUUUUCGGAGG